rnacentral:rRNA from 1 species
UAGGGAAUCUUCCACAAUGGACGAAAGUCUGAUGGAGCAAUGCCGCGUGAGCGAAGAAGGUUUUCGGAUCGUAAAGCUCUGUUGUGAGGGAAGAAUAAGUAUCGGAGUAACUGCCGGUACCUUGACGGUACCUCAUUAGAAAGCCACGGCUAACUACGUGCCAGCAGCCGCGGUAAUACGUAGGUGGCAAGCGUUGUCCGGAAUUAUUGGGCGUAAAGCGCGCGCAGGCGGCCUUUUAAGUCUGAUGUGAAAGCCCACGGCUCAACCGUGGAAGGUCAUUGGAAACUGAAGGGCUUGAGUACAGAAGAGGAAAGCGGAAUUCCACGUGUAGCGGUGAAAUGCGUAGAGAUGUGGAGGAACACCAGUGGCGAAGGCGGCUUUCUGGUCUGUAACUGACGCUGAGGCGCGAAAGCGUGGGGAGCAAACAGG